rnacentral:rRNA from 1 species
GCAAGGAAUUUUGCGCAAUGGGCGAAAGCCUGACGCAGCAACGCCGCGUGGGGGAUGAAGGCUUUCGGGUUGUAAACCCCUUUUGCUAGGGAAGAAGAUCUGACGGUACCUGGCGAAUAAGCCUCGGCUAACUACGUGCCAGCAGCCGCGGUAAUACGUGGGAGGCGAGCGUUGUCCGGAUUUACUGGGCGUAAAGAGCGCGCAGGCGGUCUGUUAAGUCAGAUGUGAAAUCUCCCGGCUUAACUGGGAGGGUGCAUUUGAUACUAAUGGGCUUGAGGGGAGUAGAGGGAUGCGGAAUUCCCGGUGUAGUGGUGAAAUGCGUAGAUAUCGGGAGGAACACCAGUGGCGAAGGCGGCAUCCUGGGCUCUACCUGACGCUGAGGCGCAAAAGCGUGGGGAGCAAACCGGAUUAGAUACCCGAGUAGUCC